AGAGUUUGAUCAUGGCUCAGGACGAACGCUGGCGGCGUGCCUAACACAUGCAAGUCGAACGGGACCGGGGGCAACUCCGGUUCAGUGGCGGACGGGUGCGUAACACGUGAGGAACAUGACCUUCGGCGGGGGAUAGCCGGCCCAACGGCCGGGUAAUACCGCGUACGACCUUUCGGGGACAUCCCUGGAUGGUGAAAGCAGCAAUGCGCCGAUGGAGUGCCUCGCGGCCUAUCAGCUAGUUGGUGGGGUAACGGCCUACCAAGGCAACGACGGGUAGCUGGUCUGAGAGGAUGGCCAGCCACAUUGGGACUGAGACACGGCCCAGACUCCUACGGGAGGCAGCAGUGGGGAAUAUUGCGCAAUGGACGAAAGUCUGACGCAGCGACGCCGCGUGUGGGAUGACGGUCUUCGGAUUGUAAACCACUGUCGGGAGGGACGAAUACGCCGCAAGGCGGGUGACGGUACCUCCAAAGGAAGCACCGGCUAACUCCGUGCCAGCAGCCGCGGUAAUACGGAGGGUGCGAGCGUUGUCCGGAAUCACUGGGCGUAAAGGGCGCGUAGGCGGCCUGAUAAGUAGGGGGUGAAAUCCUGCGGCUUAACCGCAGGGCUGCCUUCUAAACUGUCAGGCUCGAGCACAGUAGAGGCAGGUGGAAUUCCCGGUGUAGCGGUGGAAUGCGUAGAGAUCGGGAGGAACACCUGCGGUGUAGACGGCUUACUGGACCAUAACUGACGCUGAGGCACGAAAGCGUGGGUAGCAAACAGGAUUAGAUACCCCAGUAGUCC
rnacentral:rRNA from 1 species